AUUUGACAAAAAUUUUAAGACAAAAAGCAGUAUUGGUGAUAAAGAGGGCAACUACUAAAUAAUAAAGAAUAAAUUCAUCAGAAAAGAAAAAUAUAACAAUUUAAAUUUCCAUGUUCCUAAUAGCCUCAAAAUAUAAAAAGCAAAAAUUCAUAGAAUUUCAGGGUAAAAUUUUUUACCAUUACGUGAACACUUUCAGGCACCAGCUGACUUAAUAGGAUUGCAGGCAUGAGCCACUGCGCCUGGCCAAUGUCCUUUUUUAAGAUUAUAAAUUUUUUUUAGCAUAAAACUGAAAUGUUUCCUUGAUGCCCCAUGUUUUAUGUUUGCUUAUAAAUUUUAUGGUAUAUAUAAGGUAUACAACAUGAUAUUACAGUAUAGAUAGUAAAAAAAGUCACUAUGGUUUAACAAAUUAACAUAUCCAUCAUCUCAGAGGUACCCUUUUUUUUUUGACAGGAACCGCUAAAAUCUAACAUAGCAUGAAUUUCAUAUAUAAUAAAAUAUUAUUUUCCUAUCAU
rnacentral:lncRNA from 1 species